rnacentral:lncRNA from 1 species
CGUCGCCCUCAUUCCUCCGCGGCCGCGACCCGCCGGAGGGGGGGGAAGGGGCGGUCCCAGAGGGGGGGCACGAGGGUAUGGAGACCCCCAGGAACCACCCCGGGGCUCAGAGUGGCCCCAGUGCCCCCGUUAUCCAUCCCAGCGCCCCAUUCUUCCCAGACUGAUCCCAUACCCCCCCCCCAGCAUCCAGACUGGUCCCUGUGCCCCCAGCCCCGCUCCCAGUGCCCUCUAUGGUCCGUGUCCACACAGCUGUGCCUCAGUCCCUGUCCUGCGUCCCUAAUACUGAUGUGGGAUGAGGACAGGGAUGAGGAGGGGGACGUGGGCAAGGGUGAAGAUGGGGUCUAGGGACAGGGAUGGGGACAGGAGCAGGACAGGGACGGGACAGGAAUGGGACAGAUGGGAUGGGACAAUAAUGGGACAGGACAAGGACAGGGAUGGGACAGCCGGCACAUGGCAGGGCCAGCAGUAGCCGCCAGGCGGCAGCAGAGAACCGCAACC